rnacentral:rRNA from 1 species
AUGACAUUGGGGACAGUAAUAUUGAGUGGUAACUUGAAUACUUUACCUACUUUGGAUGUUGGUGAUUCUUUUCAGCUUGACAUAUUUGAUCCAAGAAAUUGGGAUUCCAUUGAUUCCAAGCAAAUUGAUAUUUUAGCACAAAAGGGCCCUCAAGGAGACACAUCAUUUAAGAAAGGUCGCAAGGAUAAAUAUAAAAGGAGGUUUUCUGCACUAUUCUACACUACAAUUCUAUCAAAUGGAGAGGCUUGCGAUAGGGAUUGGCUUGUCUAUUCCCAGGAACUCGAUAAAGUAUUUUGCUUCGGUUGUAAAUUAUUCGCAAAAGGGUGUCGAAAAGGUAAUUUGGCAAAUGAGGGGUAUAAUGAUUGGACAUCUUGGCACUAG